AUUAGAAUGGCAGAUCAGUGCAUAGGAUUUAAGCUUCUAUUAGGGAAUAAAAUUUUUGUUUCUUCUAAUA
rnacentral:tRNA from 1 species